rnacentral:lncRNA from 1 species
GCUCGUAUGGAAAUUGUGGAGGCCUAAGCUUGUCAAGUACAUAUUGAGUGGCAGAAAUGAUACUAACAUGAAUCUGCCUGGUUGUGCAGAGUUUUAAGUUUACAAGGUGUAACUUAGGCAGCAGCAAGUUUUAAGUUUACAAGGUGUAACUGAGGCAGCAACAACAGAUGGAUUAAAAGUAGUGUUAGCUGGUUCUAAUAUCCCUGAAGGUGCACAGUUUUUCAACAAGUCUGGGAUUAUAAAAAAUGUUUCU